UACAUUUUGUUCUCGUUCCGUAUUGAGAUUUCUCUUCGCUCACCUCCUUCUCUUCUUCUUCUUCUUCUUUUCAUUCCGCGUCAUUAUUAUCGCGUGUAUCAUAUACGAUUUUGUAGAAUUUAAACGAUAUCAAAAUUCUGGCAGUUAAUUUCCAUUAUAUUCGGCAAGUUCUAUAAAAAAAAACCAAGCACACACACACCUAUCAAGUAAACUGGCUAUUUUCGCAUGAAUUCGACAUAUGUCAUUUUGAAUUUCAGAUUCGUCAGAGACAGCUUCGCUCUAUUUAUCGAUGGAUUUUGCCUUGAGCGGCUAUUAUUUUAGUUUUUAAAAGCGACUACGACAAAACUUGAACUUCGUAUACGUAAAGCUUUUAUCAAAUGUGCGCGUGAAGUUUUAUUUUUGAAAUUUGAAUUCGCUGUUAAAUGCGUCAAGCUUAUUUCCCCGUGAAAUGUUUUUACGAACGACUGUGAUGGAAUAAUUGCGAUUUUAGCGUGAAGAGCGAUGACCCGAAUUCAUUUUCAUGCGGUGUUUUUAGCACAUACGUAUAUUUUAUUUGAAAAGGCAUUUUUUUGAGAUGCGGACGUGAUUGAUGUCAGCUACAACACAGAGAUGAUGGAAAUUAUCUUACCAUUUUUUUAAUUGACCUGCGAUUACUGCCAUUUACGCCAAUACAUUUGGAAUUUGUCAGAGCUUAUCUGUUUGAGUCAUAAUAAAUUUAAAAACCGUUUUAUUAUUCAA